GACGAACGCUGGCGGCGUGCUUAACACAUGCAAGUCGAACGGUAAGACCCCAGCUUGCUGGGGUACACGAGUGGCGAACGGGUGAGUAACACGUGGGUGACCUGCCCCGCACUUCGGGAUAAGCCUGGGAAACUGGGUCUAAUACCGGAUAGGACCGCACCGUGAGGGUGUGGUGGAAAGUUUUUCGGUGUGGGAUGGGCCCGCGGCCUAUCAGCUUGUUGGUGGGGUAAUGGCCUACCAAGGCGGCGACGGGUAGCCGGCCUGAGAGGGUGGACGGCCACAUUGGGACUGAGACACGGCCCAGACUCCUACGGGAGGCAGCAGUGGGGAAUAUUGCACAAUGGGCGGAAGCCUGAUGCAGCGACGCCGCGUGGGGGAUGACGGCCUUCGGGUUGUAAACUCCUUUCACCAUCGACGAAGGUUUUCUGACGGUAGAUGGAGAAGAAGCACCGGCUAACUACGUG
rnacentral:rRNA from 1 species